CGAUGAUACGCGAGGAACCUUACCUGGGCUUAAAUGUAGAGUGCAUUUCUAGAGAUAGGAAUUCCCUUCGGGGCUUUCUGCAAGGUGCUGCAUGGCUGUCGUCAGCUCGUGUCGUGAGAUGUUGGGUUAAGUCCCGCAACGAGCGCAACCCUUGUCUUUAAUUGCCAUCAUUCAGUUGGGCACUUUAAAGAGACUGCCGGUGUUAAACCGGAGGAAGGUGAGGAUGACGUCAAGUCCUCAUGGCCUUUAUGCCCAGGGCUACACACGUGCUACAAUGGGUGGUACAAAGAGAUGCAAUCUCGCAAGAGCAAGCAAACCUCAAAAAGCCAUCCUCAGUUCGGAUUGGAGUCUGCAACUCGACUCCAUGAAGUCGGAAUCGCUAGUAGUCGCGGAUCAGCACGCCGCGGUGAAUACGUUCCCGGGCCUU
rnacentral:rRNA from 1 species